rnacentral:rRNA from 1 species
CCUACGGGAGGCUGCAGUGGGGAAUAUUGGACAAUGGGGGGAACCCUGAUCCAGCCAUGCCGCGUGUGUGAAGAAGGCCCUCGGGUUGUAAAGCACUUUCAGUGAGGAAGAACGCCUGGUGGUUAAUACCCAUCAGGAAAGACAUCACUCACAGAAGAAGCACCGGCUAACUCCGUGCCAGCAGCCGCGGUAAUACGGAGGGUGCGAGCGUUAAUCGGAAUUACUGGGCGUAAAGCGCGCGUAGGUGGCUGGAUAAGCCGGUUGUGAAAGCCCCGGGCUCAACCUGGGAACGGCAUCCGGAACUGUCAAGCUAGAGUGCAGGAGAGGAAGGUAGAAUUCCCGGUGUAGCGGUGAAAUGCGUAGAGAUCGGGAGGAAUACCAGUAGCGAAGGCGGCCUUCUGGACUGACACUGACACUGAGGUGCGAAAGCGUGGGUAGCAAACAGGAUUAGAUACCCGUGUAGUC